GUAGUCAUAUGCUUGUCUCAAAGAUUAAGCCAUGCAUGUCGAAGUAUAAGCAAUUAUACCGUGAAACUGCGAAUGGCUCAUUAAAUCAGUUAUCGUUUAUUUGAUAAUACCUUACUACUUGGAUAACCGUGGUAAUUCUAGAGCUAAUACAUGCUGAAAAUCCCGACUUCGGAAGGGAUGUGUUUAUUAGAUAAAAAACCAAUGCCCUUCGGGGCUUUUUGGUGAUUCAUGAUAACUUUACGGAUCGCAUAGCCUUGCGCUGGCGACGGUUCAUUCAAAUUUCUGCCCUAUCAACUUUCGAUGGUAAGGUAUUGGCUUACCAUGGUUUCAACGGGUAACGGGGAAU
rnacentral:rRNA from 1 species